UACAGAGGUGGCAAGCGUUGUUCGGAAUUACUGGGCGUAAAGGGCGCGUAGGCGGCCUACUAAGUCAGACGUGAAAUCCCCCGGCUUAACCUGGGAACUGCGUCUGAUACUGGAAGGCUUGAGUAUGGGAGAGGGAUGUAGAAUUCCAGGUGUAGCGGUGAAAUGCGUAGAUAUCUGGAGGAACACCGGUGGCGAAGGCGGCAUUCUGGACCGACAUUGACGCUGAGGAGCGAAAGCCAGGGGAGCAAACGGG
rnacentral:rRNA from 1 species